CCAAGUUCCCCCAUCGGAAAAAGGCCACAAAAACGGGUGGGCUAUAGCCUUGGGGGGUGGGGCUGGCCUACUUCGUCCGCCGGACUCGGAAUGCUGCAAGACUUUGCGAGGGGCCUCCGUGUGCCAAAAAAAGGCUGCAGGCAAAGCCGCGCCCAAAAAUAACCGCCCGAAGGCCGGGGCGCAAAGUUCGUCCAGCGGAAAAAGGCCACAAAAACGGGUGGGCUAUAGCCUUGGGGGGUGGGGCUGGCCUACUUCGUCCGCCGGACUCGGAAUGCCGCAAGACUUUGCGAGGGGCCUCCGUGUGCCAAAAAAAGGCUGCGGCCAAAGCCGCGCCCAAAAAUAACCACCCAAAGGCCGGGGCGCCAAGUUCGUCCAGCGGAAAAAGGCCACAAAAACGGGUGGGCUAUAGCCUUGGGGGGUGGGGCUGGCCAACUUCGUCCGCCGGACGUGGAAUGGUACGAGACCUUGCGAGGCACCUCCGUGUGCCAAAAAUAGGCCGCGGGCACAGCGGCGCCCAAAAAUAACCGCCCGAAGGCCGGGGCGCCAAGUUCGUCCAGCGGACAAAGGCCACAAAAACGGGUGGGCUAUAGCCUUGGGGGGUGGGGCUGGCCUACUUCGUCCGCCGGACUCGGAAUGCCGCAAGACUUUGCGAGGGGCCUCCGUGUGCCAAAAAAAGGCUGCGGGCAAAGCCGCGACCAAAAAUAACCACCCGAAGGCCGUGGCGCCAAGUUCGUCCAGCGGAAAAAGGCCACAAAAACGGGUGGGCUAUAGCCUUGGGGGGUGGGGCUGGCCAACUUCGUCCGCCGGACGUGGAAUGGUGCGAGACCUUCCGAGGCACCUCCGUGUGCCAAAAAUAGGCCGCGGGCACAGCGGCGCCCAAAAAUAACCGCCCGAAGGCCGGGGCGCCAAGUUCGUCCAGCAGACAAAGGCCACAAAAACGGGUGGGCUAUAGCCUUGGGGGUUGGGGCGGGCCAACAUCGUCCGCCGGACUCGGAAUGGCACGAGACGUUGCGAGGCGCCUCCGUGUGCCAAAAAUAGGCUGCGUCCACAGCCGCGCCCAAAAAUAACCGCUCGAAAACCGGGGCGUCAAGUUCGUCCAGCAGAAAAAGGCCACAAAAACGGGUGGGCUAUAGCCUUGGGGGGUGGGGCUGGCCAACUUCGUCCGCCGGACGUGGAAUGGUACGAGACCUUGCGAGGCACCUCCGUGUGCCAAAAAUAGGCCGCGGGCACAGCGGCGCCCAAAAAUAACCGCCCGAAGGCCGGGGCGCCAAGUUCGUCCAGCGGACAAAGGCCACAAAAACGGGUGGGCUAUAGCCUUGGGGGGUGGGGCUGGCCUACUUCGUCCGCCGGACUCGGAAUGCCGCAAGACUUUGCGAGGGGCCUCCGUGUGCCAAAAAAAGGCUGCGGGCAAAGCCGCNNNNNNNNNNNNNNNNNNNNNNNNNNNNNNNNNNNNNNNNNNNNNNNNNNNNNNNNNNNNNNNNNNNNNNNNNNNNNNNNNNNNNNNNNNNNNNNNNNNNAAAACGGGUGGGCUAUAGCCUUGGGGGGUGGGGCUGGCCAACUUCGUCCGCCGGACGUGGAAUGGUGCGAGACCUUCCGAGGCACCUCCGUGUGCCAAAAAUAGGCCGCGGGCACAGCGGCGCCCAAAAAUAACCGCCCGAAGGCCGGGGCGCCAAGUUCGUCCAGCAGACAAAGGCCACAAAAACGGGUGGGCUAUAGCCUUGGGGGUUGGGGCGGGCCAACAUCGUCCGCCGGACUCGGAAUGGCGCGAGACAUUGCGAGGCGCUUCCGUGUGCCAAAAAUAGGCCGCGGGCACAGCCGCGCCCAAAAAUAACCGCCCGAAGGCCGGGGCGCAAAGUUCGUCCAGCGGAAAAAGCCCACAAAAACGGGUGGGCUAUAGCCUUGGGGGGUGGGGCUGGCCAACUUCGUCCGCCGGACUCGGAAUGGCACGAGACGUUGCGAGGCGCCUCCGUGUGCCAAAAAUAGGCUGCGUCCACAGCCGCGCCCAAAAAUAACCGCUCGAAGACCGGGGCGUCAAGUUCGUCCAGGGGAAAAAGGCCACAAAAACGGGUGGGGUAUAGCCUUGGGGGUUGGGGCGGGCCAACUUCGUCCGCCGGACUCGGAAUGGCGCGAGACCUUGCGAGGAGCCUCCGUGUGCCAAAAAUAGGCCGUGGGCAAAGCCGCGCACAAAAAUAACUGCCCGAAGGCUGGGGCGCCAAGUUCGUCCAGCGGAAAAAGGCAACAAAAAUGGGUGGGCUAUAGCCUUGGGGGGUGGGGCUGGCCAACUUCGUCCGCCGGACUCGGAAUGGCGCGAGACUUUGCGAGGGGCCUCCGUGUGCCAAAAGUAGGCCGCGGACAAAGCCGCGCCCAAAAUUAACCACCCGAAGGCCGGGGUGCCAAGUUCGUCCAGCGGAAAAAGGCCACAAAAACGGGUGGGCUAUAGCCUUGGGGGGUGGGGCUGGCCAACUUCGUCCGCCGGAUGUGGAAUGGUGCGAGACCUUCCGAGGCACCUCCGUGUGCCAAAAAUAGGCCGCGGGCACAGCGGCGCCCAAAAAUAACCGCCCGAAGGCCGGGGCGCCAAGUUCGUCCAGCGGACAAAGGCCACAAAAACGGGUGGGCUAUAGCCUUGGGGGUUGGGGCGGGCCAACUUCGUCCGCCGGACUCGGAAUGGCGCGAGACAUUGCGAGGCGCUUCCGUGUGCCAAAAAUAGGCCGCGGGCACAGCCGCGCCCAAAAAUAACCGCCCGAAGGCCGGGGCGCAAAGUUCGUCCAGCGGAAAAAGCCCACAAAAACGGGUGGGCUAUAGCCUUGGGGGGUGGGGCUGGCCAACUUCGUCCGCCGGACUCGGAAUGCCGCGAGACUUUGCGAGGCACCUCCGUGUGCCAAAAAUAGGCCGCGGGCACAGCGGCGCCCAAAAAUAACCGCCCGAAGGCCGGGGCGCCAAGUUCGUCCAGCGGACAAAGGCCACAAAAACGGGUGGGCUAUAGCCUUGGGGGUUGGGGCGGGCCAACUUUGUCCGCCGGACUCGGAAUUGCGCGAGACGUUGCGAGGUGCUUCCGUGUGCCAAAAAUAGGCCGCGGGCACAGCCGAGCCCAAAAAUAACCGCCCGAAGGCCGGGGCGCAAAGUUCGUCCAGCGGAAAAAGCCCACAAAAACGGGUGGGCUAUAGCCUUGGGGGGUGGGGCUGGCCAACUUCGUCCGCCGGACUCGGAAUGGCACGAGACGUUGCGAGUCACCUCCGUGUACCAAAAAUAGGCCGCGGACACAGCCGCGCCCAAAAAUAACCUCCCGAAGGCCGGGGCGCCAAGUUCGUCCAGCGGAAAAAAGCCACAAAAACGGGUGGGCAUAGCCUUGGGGGGUGGGGCUGGCCGACUUCGUCCGCCGGACUCGGAAUGCCGCGAGACUUUGUGAGGCACCUCCGUGUGCCAAAAAUAGGCCGCGGGCACAGCCGCACCGAAAAAUAACAGCCCGAAGGCCGGGGCGCCAAGUUCGUCCAGCGGAAAAAGGCCACAAAAACGGGUGGGCAUAGCCUUGGGGGGUGGGGCUGGCCCACUUCGUCCGCCGGACUCGGAAUGCCGCGAGACUUUGCGAGGCGCCUCCGUGUCCCAAAAUAGGCCGCGGGCACAGCCGCGCCCAAAAAUAACCGCCCGGAGGCCGGGGCGCCAAGUUCGUCCCAGCGAAAAAGGCCACAAAAACGGGUGGGCUAUAGCCUUGGGGGUUGGGGCUGACCGACUUCGUCCGCCGGACUCCGAUGCCGCGAGACUUUGUGAGGGGCCUCCGUGUGCCAAAAAUAGGCCGCGGGAAAAGCCCCGCCCAAAAAUAAACCGCCCAAAGGCCGGGNNNNNNNNNNNNNNNNNNNNNNNNNNNNNNNNNNNNNNNNNNNNNNNNNNNNNNNNNNNNNNNNNNNNNNNNNNNNNNNNNNNNNNNNNNNNNNNNNNNNCAAAAACGGGUGGGCAUAGCCUUGGGGGGUGGGGCUGGCCAACUUCGUCCGCCGGACUCGGAAUGCCGCGAGACUUUGCGAGGAGCCUCCGUGUGCCAAAAAUAGGCCGUGGGCAAAGCCGCGCCCAAAAAUAACUGGCCGAAGGCCGGGGCGCCAAGUUCGUCCAGCGGAAAAAGGCCACAAAAAUUGGUGGGCUAUAGCCUUGGGGGGUGGGGCUGGCCAACUUCGUCCGCCGGACUUGGAAUGGCGUGAGACCUUGCGAGGCACCUCUGUGUGCCAAAAAUAGGCCGCGGGCACAGCGGCGUCCAAAAAUAACCGCCCGAAGGCCGGGGCGCCAAGUUCGUCCAGCGGAAAAAGCCCACAAAAACGGGUGGGCUAUAGCCUUGGGGGGUGGGGCUGGCCAAGUUCGUCCACCGGAUUCGGAAUGGCGCGAGACUUUCCGAGGCACCUCCGUGUGACAAAAAUAGGCUGUGGGCACAGCCGCGCUAAAAAAUAACCGCCCGAAGGCUGGGGCGCCAAGUUCGUCCAGCGGAAAAACGCCACAAAAACGGGUGGGCUAUAGCCUUGGGGAGUGGGGCUGGCCAACUUCGUCCGCCCGACUCGGAAUGGCGUGAGACUUUGCGAGGCACCUCCAUGUGCCAAAAAUAGGCUACGGGCACAGCCGCGCCCAAAAAUAACCGCCCGAAGACCGGGGCGCCAAGUUCGUCCAGCGGAAAAAGGCCACAAAAACGGGUGAGCUAUAGCCUUGGGGGGUGGGGCUGGCCAACUUCGUCCGCCGGACUCGGAAUGGCGCGAGACUUUGCGAGUCGCCUCUGUGUGCCAAAAAUAGGCCGCGGGCACAGCUGCGCCCAAAAAUAACCGCCUGAAGGCCGGGUCGCCAAGUUCGUCCAGCGGAAAAAGGCCACAAAAACGGGUGGGCUAUAGCCUUGGGGGGUGUGGCUGGCCAACUUCGUCCGCAGGACUCGGAAUGGCACGGGACGUGGCAAGGCACCUCCGUGUGCCAAAAAUAGGCCGCGGGCACAGCCGCGUCCAAAAAUAACCACCCGAAGGCCGGGGCGCCAAGUUCGUCCAGCGGAAAAAGGCCACAAAAACGGGUGGGCUAUAGCCUUGGGGGGUGGGGCUGGCCAACUUUGUCCGCCGGACUCGGAAUGGCGUGAGACUUUGUGAGGCGCCUCCGUGUGCCAAAAAUAGGCCGCGGGCACAGCCGCGCCCAAAAAUAACCGCCCGAAGGCCGGGGCGCCAAGUUCGUCCAGCGGAAAAAGCCCACAAAAACGGGUGGGCUAUAGCCUGGGGGGGUGGGGCUGGCCAACUUCGUCCGCCAGACUCGGAAUGGCACGAGACUUUGCGACGCGUCCCAGUGUGCCAAAAAUAGGCCGCGGGCGUAGCCGCGCCCAAAAAUAACCGACCGAAGACCGGGGCGUCAAGUUCGUCCAGGGGAAAAAGGCCACAAAAACGGGUGGGCUAUAGCCUUGGGGGGUGGG
rnacentral:lncRNA from 1 species